rnacentral:rRNA from 1 species
UACAGAGGGUGCGAGCGUUGUUCGGAAUUAUUGGGCGUAAAGGGCGCGUAGGCGGUGCGGUAAGUCACCUGUGAAAUCUCCUGGCUCAACUGGGAGCUUGCAGGCGAAACUGCCGUGCUGGAGUGUGGGAGAGGUGCGUGGAAUUCCUGGUGUAGCGGUGAAAUGCGUAGAUAUCAUUUGGAACGCCAAUGGUGAAAACAGCUCGCUGGGGGUGCACUGACACUGAGACACGAAAGCCAGGGGAGCGAACGGG